rnacentral:rRNA from 1 species
CCCUUAGAUGUUCUGGGCUGCACGCGUGCUACAAUGGCGUUUCCAGCAAGUCUGCGAACCCGAGAGGGCCAGCGGAUCUUCGAAUUGGCGUCGUGAUCGGGACAGUCGAUUGCAAUUAUUUGACUCAAACGAGGAAUUCCUUGUAAUCGCGAUUCAUCAUAUCGCGCUGAAUACGUCCCUGCCCUUUGUACACACCGCCCGUCGCUCCUACCGAUUGGGUGUGCUGGUGAAAUGUUCGGAUCGGCCGUUUGUCGCGGUUUCCGCGGCUCGUGGCUGAGAAGUUCAUUAAACCCUCCCACCUAGAGGAAGGAGAAGUCGUAACA